ACCUGGGUGGCUCAGUCGGUUGAGCAUCUGACUUCGGCUCAGGUCAUGAUCUCACGGUCUGUGAGUUCGAGCCCCACGUCGGGCU
rnacentral:tRNA from 1 species